GGGCCACUCCGGGUUGGACUUGCGGCCAGUGCGGUCCCACUUGUGGUAGUCGUCCAGGCAGAUGACAGUCGUAAUGUCCGAGACGAGCGUGUUCGUCUCACGGCCAAUGUCCAGCAGCUUGCACUCGCCGCCGAAGAUCGAC
rnacentral:sRNA from 13 species